rnacentral:lncRNA from 1 species
ACAGAAGCAGGUGGUCGAACAAAGAAUUGUCGGUGCCCCUACCUUCUAUGCCCUCAUGGCGGCACUCCACGAGGCCUGAACCACCACGAUGCUGCUGUCGUGAGAAACAACAGCCCCUGCUCGCCAUGAGAAUUGUCGUCCGUGAAGAAUGAGAUCAGUCUCCAUGCGGGUGGAAAUUAGACGGUGUCUUUGUGGUGGCGAUGGUGGGGAUGGUGAUGGUGUGGUGUGACGGCGGUAUGGUGACAAUUGAGAGACAGAUCUAGAGUUUUUGGUUAGAUCCGGUAGUCGAUUAAAGUUAAUCAUUACGUUUUUUAAUUCAUUUUAGAACUUUUGGUUAUUGAUUCCCGAUUUUGCAACGUGUAGUCGGACUUGGGGCAUUUCGGCAGUGUGUUUUUGUUCUGUCAUUGUCAAUCCAUCAUCCAAUUUCUAUAAAUCAAUAAAAUUUUUGUAUAUUUGUUGUUUUGUAAAAAAAGUUGAUUUAUAUUUUCUUCUUUGUAGUUGUUUUUGUUAUUUGUUUCGGUUGGUUAUUGUUUGGAAUCUUUUGUUGAAUCGUGUUGGUUUUGAUUGAAU